CGUGCGAACGUUGUUCGGAAUCACUGGGCGUAAAGGGCGCGUAGGCGGCCGAUCAAGUCGGGGGUGAAAGCCUGUGGCUCAACCACGGAAUUGCCUUCGAUACUGUUUGGCUUGAGACCGGAAGAGGUAAGUGGAACUGCGAGUGUAGAGGUGAAAUUCGUAGAUAUUCGCAAGAACACCAGUGGCGAAGGCGGCUUACUGGUCCGGUUCUGACGCUGAGGCGCGAAAGCGUGGGGAGCAAACAGG
rnacentral:rRNA from 1 species